rnacentral:rRNA from 1 species
UGGGGAAUAUUGGACAAUGGGCGAAAGCCUGAUCCAGCCAUGCCGCGUGAGUGACGAAGGCCUUAGGGUUGUAAAACUCUUUCGUCGGGGACGAUAAUGACGGUACCCGAAGAAGAAGCUCCGGCUAACUUCGUGCCAGCAGCCGCGGUAAUACGAAGGGAGCUAGCGUUGUUCGGAAUCACUGGGCGUAAAGCGCACGUAGGCGGAUAGUUAAGUCAGGGGUGAAAUCCUGGGGCUCAACCCCAGAACUGCCUUUGAUACUGGCUGUCUCGAGGUCGAGAGAGGUUGGUGGAAUUCCUAGUGUAGAGGUGAAAUUCGUAGAUAUUAGGAAGAACACCAGUGGCGAAGGCGGCCAACUGGCUCGAUACUGACGCUGAGGUGCGAAAGCGUGGGGAGCAAACAGGAUUAGAUACCCC